CAAACGGCCCUUUUCAGGGCCACAGAAAAUUC
rfam:Aedes albopictus isolate Foshan contig322864, whole genome shotgun sequence.